rnacentral:siRNA from 1 species
GUGGACGUGCCGGAGUGG